rnacentral:rRNA from 1 species
UAUACAUGCAGUCGAGCGAACAGACGAGGAGCUUGCUCCUCUGACGUUAGCGGCGGACGGGUGAGUAACACGUGGAUAACCUACCUAUAAGACUGGGAUAACUUCGGGAAACCGGAGCUAAUACCGGAUAAUAUAUUGAACCGCAUGGUUCAAUAGUGAAAGACGGUUUUGCUGUCACUUAUAGAUGGAUCCGCGCCGCAUUAGCUAGUUGGUAAGGUAACGGCUUACCAAGGCAACGAUGCGUAGCCGACCUGAGAGGGUGAUCGGCCACACUGGAACUGAGACACGGUCCAGACUCCUACGGGAGGCAGCAGUAGGGAAUCUUCCGCAAUGGGCGAAAGCCUGACGGAGCAACGCCGCGUGAGUGAUGAAGGUCUUCGGAUCGUAAAACUCUGUUAUUAGGGAAGAACAAAUGUGUAAGUAACUAUGCACGUCUUGACGGUACCUAAUCAGAAAGCCACGGCUAACUACGUGCCAGCAGCCGCGGUAAUACGUAGGUGGCAAGCGUUAUCCGGAAUUAUUGGGCGUAAAGCGCGCGUAGGCGGUUUUUUAAGUCUGAUGUGAAAGCCCACGGCUCAACCGUGGAGGGUCAUUGGAAACUGGAAAACUUGAGUGCAGAAGAGGAAAGUGGAAUUCCAUGUGUAGCGGUGAAAUGCGCAGAGAUAUGGAGGAACACCAGUGGCGAAGGCGACUUUCUGGUCUGUAACUGACGCUGAUGUGCG